GACGGAGGGAGUACUUACCAGAAAAAAGUAGAUGAUGAAAUGUGGUGGCGCCAGGGCACCGUGGAGGAACUGGGGAUCGGAGUCACGAGAUCCAAUAGCCCGGCCAGAAGCAUAAUCUACGGCUGGUAACAAAAAGCCGUCGAAGAAGAGGCUGAUGAAGUUCAUUGUGAUUUUAGGUCAUCGUUCAUAUCUCAUUCGUUCGCUGAUCAGCUCUUCAUGAUUAGAUGCAUGUAUAAAAUUUCAUCAAUAACUUCAUCAAUUAUAUUCAGUCAUGCUGUGUUAUUUAUUUGCCUUCUCUUACAGCGAAGGGUUUUCAUUAGCAUUCUUGAUGCUAUAAAUUGAAGUUCAAUCCAAAACGAAGUUAUUAUACGUCAGAAAAUUCUUUCUCCUUGAGGGCUGGAAGUUCAGAAAAUUCUGGCGUGGGUCCCAAACGCGCCUGAGUGACAUCAAGAGUGCACCUGGAGAUGGCUACAUACGGCCUUUGUCAAUUCCCAUCAAAAGAUCAUGGGUCGGUAUGUUGACUCGCUCAAGUCUCAACCCUCAACUACCGGCUUGUUUACACGAGAGGCGGCGUAGAGUAGGCCGUGAGAGCCGCCAUGCACAGUCAUUAAUAUAAACAACCUCAAUUAGCAACCUAAUUAACAUGUGCAUUUCCAUCCCACAUCGAUCCCCACAUGUGCCUUCCCUGCAUUCCUCCCUAUCAAUUCUUAUACUAGUAUAUGCAUGUAACCAACACUAACUGACCACAUUGUACUUGUGCAAAGAUAUAGAGAUAAAACAAACAGUAUAUUUUAACAAAUCCAUCACAGUUAAUCAGCAUCUCUUAUACUAUAAUACUACUAUAAACCCCAUCCAGCCCCUUGCUUCCUUCCUUGAUCCUCUCCUGUAGCACUAGCAGCCACAUCCACAUGCGCCCUAACGGCCUUGUGCACAUGCAUGACUUCAGCAAACCUUGUGCUCUGAAACUUCUGAAGGAGUCAACACCACACCCUGCCCUCCCUCUGCAAUGGAAUCAUGGGCAUAGCUGGGAGCUGUAGCAGUUCACAAUCGACGAGUCAACGGUCAGCACCGCCAUCCAUGAACCCUAGCUUGUUUGGGCCCUACCACUCUACCUAUAAAUGUACAGCU
rnacentral:lncRNA from 1 species